rnacentral:rRNA from 1 species
UCUGACCGUAAACGAUGCCAACUAGUGAUCCGUCGGUGGUAAUUACGCCCCGACGGGGAACUUCCCGGAAACGAAAGUCUUCCGGUUCCGGGGGAAGUAUGGUUGCAAAGCUGAAACUUAAAGGAAUUGACGGAAGGGCACCACCAGGAGUGGAGCCUGCGGCUUAAUUUGACUCAACACGGGAAAACUCACCCGGCCCGGACACUGUAAGGAUUGACAGAUCGAGAGCUCUUUCUUGAUUCGGUGGUUGGUGGUGCAUGGCCGUUCUUAGUUGGUGGAGCGAUUUGUCUGGUUUAUUCCGAUAACGAACGAGACUCCGGCCUACUAAAUAGUGACUGGAUCUUCUAGUCCAGUAUACUUCUUAGAGGGACAAGUGGCGUUUAGCCACAUGAAAUGGAGCAAUAACAGGUCUGUGAUGCCCUUAGAUGUCCGGGGCUGCACGCGCGCUACACUGGAGGAGGCAGCGUGCUAAACCAUUGCCGAAAGGCAUUGGUAAACCCAUGAAAAUCCUCCGUGAUCGGGAUCGGGAAUUGCAAUUAUUUCCCUUGAACGAGGAAUUCCCAGUAAGUGUGGGUCAUAAGCUCGCGCUGAUUACGUCCCUGCCCUUUGUACACACCGCCCGUCGCUGCCCGGGACUGAGCCGUUUCGAGAAAAGCGGGGACUGCUGWUGUCGAGGGUUUCGGCCCUUGGCUUCUGGUGGAAACCGCUUUAAUCGCAGUGGCUGAACCGGC